CCCUUAGAUGUUCUGGGCCGCACGCGCGCUACACUGACGAAUGCAACGAGCUUAUAACCUUGGCCGAAAGGUCUGGGUAAUCUCCAAAUUUCGUCGUGAUGGGGAUAGAUUAUUGCAAUUAUUAAUCUUCAACGAGGAAUGCCUAGUAAGCGCAAGUCAUCAGCUUGCGUUGAUUACGUCCCUGCCCUUUGUACACACCGCCCGUCGCUCCUACCGAUUGAAUGGUCCGGUGAAGCGUUCGGACCGUGGCCUUUGGACGGUUCGCCGUCUGUUGGCUGCUGGAAGUUCGUUAAACCUUAUCAUUUAGAGGAAGGAGAAGUCGUANCA
rnacentral:rRNA from 1 species